rnacentral:tRNA from 1 species
GGGCCCGUGGUCUAGCCUGGAUAAGACGCUGGCCUGCGGAGCCGGAAAUCCGGGGUUCAAAUCCCCGCGGGCCCG